rnacentral:rRNA from 1 species
AGAGUUUGAUCCUGGCUCAGGACGAACGCUGGCGGCGUGCUUAACACAUGCAAGUCGAACGGAGCACCUUUGAAAGAGACUUCGGUCAAUGGAUGAGACUGCUUAGUGGCGGACGGGUGAGUAACGCGUGAGGAACCUGCCUUCCAGAGGGGGACAACAGUUGGAAACGACUGCUAAUACCGCAUAACGCAUGACCGGGGCAUCCCGGACAUGCCAAAGAUUUAUCGCUGGAAGAUGGCCUCGCGUCUGAUUAGCUAGUUGGUAGGGUAACGGCCUACCAAGGCGACGAUCAGUAGCCGGACUGAGAGGUUGGCCGGCCACAUUGGGACUGAGAUACGGCCCAGACUCCUACGGGAGGCAGCAGUGGGGAAUAUUGGGCAAUGGGCGCAAGCCUGACCCAGCAACGCCGCGUGAAGGAAGAAGGCUUUCGGGUUGUAAACUUCUUUUAUCAGGGACGAAGGAUGUGACGGUACCUGAUGAAUAAGCCACGGCUAACUACGUGCCAGCAGCCGCGGUAAUACGUAGGUGGCAAGCGUUGUCCGGAAUUACUGGGUGUAAAGGGAGCGUAGGCGGGGAGACAAGUUGAAUGUUUAAACUAUCGGCUUAACUGAUAGUCGCGUUCAAAACUAUCACUCUUGAGUGCAGUAGAGGUAGGCGGAAUUCCUAGUGUAGCGGUGAAAUGCGUAGAUAUUAGGAGGAACACCAGUGGCGAAGGCGGCUUACUGGACGGUAACUGACGUUGAGGCUCGAAAGCGUGGGGAGCAAACAGGAUUAGAUACCCUGGUAGUCCACGCCGUAAACGAUGGAUACUAGGUGU